GCAUAAUUGGUGACCUUGGGAGUUGGUUUAGUAGGUGUUCUGACCCAGGCGAGAGGGCAUUUGACCCUUGGACCGUCUUUGAUAGGCAGUGGAGGGCCUUUUGGAAGCCUAAUUUGAGCAGCAUUGGGGCUUCGUUGAGCCGAUUUUGGGACUUCCUUUGGACUGUUUGGAGCUUAGUAAUAGAGCCAUCUACAGGAGAGG